GUUUGUAGCACUUCUUUUGGGCCGAAGGGGAAGGCACGUCCUGCCUCCAGCCGCUCAGGGAGAGCGGAACGGAAGUGAGGGGUGGUGGUGAGGAGUCGGGGGAACUGACAGACCGGUGGACCCGACGUCGAGAGUUGAUGGCGUCGGUGACGGAAGGGGGCGUGUAACUACGUUGUGUAGGUGUUGUGGUUGAGAUGUGAAGAUUAGCCCUGAGCUAACAUCUCCUGCCAAUCCUCCUCUUUUUGCUGAGGAAGACUGGCCCUGAUCUAACAUCCAUGCCCAUCCUCCUCUACUUUAUGUGUGGAACGCCUACCACAGCAUGGCUUGACAAGCGGUGCCAUGUCUGCACCUGGGAUCCAAACUAGUGAACCCCAGGCUGCCGAAGUGGAACGUGCGAACUUAACCGCUGCGCCACCAGGCCGGACCCUGAAAAGCUUUUUAGCAAGUUGGAUGAUGGGGGAUGGGGACAUACUGUACGAGGGGGAAUUAGAGAGAGGGUAAAGUUAAGGAUGAUCUCCAAGUUUCUGCCUAGACAUCUGGAAGUAUGGUCAGUAUAGGCUAGAGAAUAUAAGAAAGAGAGCAAGUUUAAGGGAGAAGAUGAAUUCAGUUUUGGCCAUGUUUGAGAUACCUGUGGGACAGCCAGUCAGAUGAGAACAUGUGAGCCUGGAGGACUGGAGAGAGAUCUGGGAUGGGGAUGUAUAUUGAGGAAUCACCAGUAGAUAAGUGGUAGAUGAGGCCAUAGAUGCAGAUGAUAUAACCAGGUAGCAUGUGCAGAGUGAGAAGAGAACUGAUAACAAAGCCCAAUAGUUAAGGGGAGAGCAUAGGAAAUGAGUCACUUUAGGAGACUGAGAAACAGCCCUAAAAAUGAAAGGCAAACCAGGAAAGGUGGUAUACAGAAGCCAGGGGAAGAGAGUCACACAAAGGAGUUAGUGGUCAAUAGGGUCCAAUUCAGCAGAAAAAGCAAGCAAAGCAAGUACUGAAAAGCCUGUGUUGGCUUUAACAACUAGGAGGUCUGUACCUCAGAGAUUGCAAUUUCAGUGGAGUGGCACCAGAUUGCAGUGGUUUGAGGAGCGCAUGGUCAUGGUAGACUUUAACUUGUGGCUCCUAUUAACCAUUCCCAGUAAUCAUGACCCUGUGUAGUCCCCUGUUCUUGAAUCUUGUGGGCCAUAUAAGUAAGUUUAACUGACAGAAUGCAGGGAAAUAAUGCUGCUUAACUUCCAAGGGUAGGUCAUAAGAAGCCUUGCAACUUUUGCCAUGGUCUUUUGGAGCCCUGAGCAAAGAAGUCUAAUCAACCUCCUAGAGAGAGCACAUGGAGAGAUUCUGAGAUGACCUGGAGACAGAGAGCACCCAAGCUGUGCCCAGCGUUCCAGAUAUCCCCAUCAAGGUGCCAGGCAUGAAGGAAACCAUCUUGGACCCUCUAGAUCAACCUAGCCACCAGCUAGAUACCACUGAAUGACUCCAGUAGAUGCCACGUGGGACAGAAGAAUUGUCCAGGCAGCCUUGCCCAAAUUUCUCACCCACAUACUCAUGAGUAUAAUAAAAUUGCUGUUGUUUUCAGCACCAGGUUUUGGUGUGGUUUAUUACAUAGCAGUGUAUAGCUGGAACAUGGGCAUUGAAGUAAUGGAGACUGUAAAUGCAUGCUAUUCUUCCAAUAAGCUUGGAAAGGGAAAGAUCAGAUGGAAGCUGCAAGGUCUCAUAAGAUUGAG
rnacentral:lncRNA from 1 species